GACAAUAUUGAGAGAAAUACAAGAACUCGACAAUUCUUACUUAAACAAAACUGAAAGAGAAUACCACUAUUUAUUGGUACAUGGCAUAGCAUAAAAAUGAAAAUAAUGUGAAAUAAGAAAAUAAAAUGUUUCCAUAAAAAAAUCACGUGAAAUAUAAUGAAACAAUUUUUCUCACAUGAAAAUAAGGAAACAAUUUAUUUAAAAAAAAAAAAAACUACCGUAAUUUGGGUCACAAACCCAACAAAAAGCAUCUUCCUUGGUUAUCCAAAUGUACUCUUCAUCAUUAGAAGACUAUUUUCGCCUUCAAUCCAAAGUAUUCUUGAUCCAUCAAGAUUCAUAAAACGACUAUGAAUAACAACGUCCAAAGAACAAAGUACGGUGCAUGCAUAGUUUCUAUCAGGCAUUUCAUUGAACAUUUUCUUCGUAAUUUCAAACUUGCUCGAUUGUCUAUACAAUUUGACAAAUUUUAUAGAAACGCUCUUCUUGAAAACAUCAAUCUAAAUUGCUUCUCAUUUUUGAGAAUUUCUUUUAUCCAUUUGAAGUGUUUGGCGAAAGCCAAGCGGUGGAUUGUAGAUUCAUAAAUGCCAUUCUUGUUGCGGGAAUGGUUGGAAAUUUUGUGGAGAUGAGAUCUUUCUAUGAGGCAGAAGCUUUAAAAAUGAAGAAGAUGUCUCCCCAAAUUUUGUAAUUGAAAUCAGUUAGUAAGAACGAAGAAGAUAUUCUCUCUCCAAAUUUUGUAAUUGAAAUAGUAAUGAUAUUAAUCCUUAAAUUAUG
rnacentral:lncRNA from 1 species